rnacentral:rRNA from 1 species
UACAGAGGUCUCUAGCGUUGUUCGGAUUCAUUGGGCGUAAAGGGUGUGUAGGUGGCGCCGUAAGUCGGGUGUGAAAUUUCGGAGCUUAACUCCGAAACUGCAUUCGAUACUGCGGGUCUUGAGGACUGGAGAGGAGACUGGAAUUCAUGGUGUAGCAGUGAAAUGCGUAGAGAUCAUGAGGAAGACCAGUGGCGAAGGCGGGUCUCUGGACAGUUCCUGACACUGAGACACGAAGGCCAGGGGAGCAAACGGG